rnacentral:lncRNA from 1 species
AGAAAACAUGACAGAAAACAAAGCUCUCUGCUGAGAAAGUGUGAGGGCAGGUGGUUUGCACCUGGCCUGCAUAGGGAUGUUGUGGCUGCUUUGUUCUUCGAGGCACACAAAUCGGUCCCUCCUUCUGAGGCCUUCCAGGAUGCGCUUUUGAGGUUCACAGAACAGGCUUUGGAGCUACAGCUAGGAAAGCGGAGAGAUCAGUGGCCAGAACCUGGGGAAGGGGAGAAGGGGAGGCUGAAACUCAGUGGACGCAAGAGGAGGAGAAGGGCCCAGGGACCUGAGGCGUUUGGAGUGGACAAGCCCUCCUGUCUGUUUGCACAGCACCGGGUGCAGGUCUCAGGGGCAGCCGCUGGACCCGCGUCUCACUGCUUCUCUGACAUUCGCACCCUGCCCACGCCUGCCUGCGGGCUCAGUCACGUCCUCCUCGUCGGCUGCGUCCCCCACGCACGCUGCGUCAGCCUCCCAAGAUUCAGGGCCAUGACAGUGAGCGCCUAGAGGACUUAUGCCAGGUCAGCUUACAGUAGGAACACGUUCUUCACGGAUUCACCUUUAGACAGUCAUUUCUCUGCAAGCAGAGGCAAGGCUGGAUGCUGACUCAGGAAUGCUUGUUCCAGCAGAACUGGGAGGUUGAAAACCUGCGUUCUCUCCACCAGCUCCUCACCUGUGGGCCAAGAAACCAAGGGACCUCAGCAGUCUCAUCAUGGGUAUGCAGGAGCCUUCUGUCCCCUCUUACCUGUACCCCAUCUUUGUAUCACUUUUGUGCUAAUUUUGCAAAUGUAUCAACGCUAAGUAAAUUUGAAUAAG